UUCAAACUUCUGUCAAAAGUGCGAAAUCUCAACUAUAUGACAGUUUAUGAGUGGUCUCAAUUGGCCAAGUUAAACCAUAUUUAUGAUAAGUCGAUCACUCCAUGCAGACUUUUGGAUUCCUCUAAGUACUGUAUAGAAUACGUGAUUCAACUGAGUAAAAAUACCAGCACUGUGAUCAUCAGAGCAAGUCCAUCAGGUGACAUUCUUUUUCACCUCUGUCUCCUUUCACUUUGAAGGUUCCCAUGUUUGAGGAAGCAUUUGGUGUUGCUGUGCAAAGUGUUGCUGCAGUGGAGGUUCAAGGUUACUGUUUAUUGAUAUGGAUCCCAUCAUACUUUGUUCAUUGUUUGUUCAGGAUUUUGCCCUAAGUCUCCGUGUUUGAGGGCCUAUUCUGUG